GCGCUCGCGUCGGCCCUUGAAAAUCCGAGUGAGGGAGUGUGAUUUUCGUGCCGGACUGUACCCACAUCCGCAGCAGGUCUCCAAGGUGAACAGCCUCUAGUCGAUGGACCAAUGUAGGUAAGGGAAGUCGGCAAAACGGAUCCGUAACCUUGGGAUAAGGAUUGGCUCUGAGGACUGAGCCGGUCGGGCUGGGGACCUGAAGCAGGAACGGCACUGCACCGGGACUGGGCGGGGCUCGCCGUUCACGCGGCGCGGCCAAGCCCGGACCAGCGUCGGGACCUUCCUGUGGAAAGCCUCAGCUGCGCGGCGUCCGAGGGCUUCGUGCCCAAAGUGCUAUGCUUCGGCCGGCAAAAAACAGUCAACUCAGAACUGGCACGGACCGGGGGAAUCCGACUGUCUAAUUAAAACAAAGCAUUGCGAUGGCCGCUGGUCGGUGUUGACGCAAUGUGAUUUCUGCCCAGUGCUCUGAAUGUCAACGUGAAGAGAUUCAUCAAAGCGCGGGUAAACGGCGGGAGUAACUAUGACUCUCUUAGGUCACUGGCUGGGUCAUCUGGAGGUUUUGUCACCCCAUCGGGGCUGGCAGGUGUUGAGAGGACUGUGGAUUUGU
rnacentral:ncRNA from 1 species